AGUGAACGCUGGCGGUAGGCCUAACACAUGCAGUCGAACGGCAGCACAGUAAGAGCUUGCUCUUACGGGUGGCGAGUGGCGGACGGGUGAGGAAUACAUCGGAAUCUACUUUUUCGUGGGGGAUAACGUAGGGAAACUUACGCUAAUACCGCAUACGACCUACGGGUGAAAGCAGGGGAUCUUCGGACCUUGCGCGAUUGAAUGAGCCGAUGUCGGAUUAGCUAGUUGGCGGGGUAAAGGCCCACCAAGGCGACGAUCCGUAGCUGGUCUGAGAGGAUGAUCAGCCACACUGGAACUGAGACACGGUCCAGACUCCUACGGGAGGCAGCAGUGGGGAAUAUUGGACAAUGGGCGCAAGCCUGAUCCAGCCAUACCGCGUGGGUGAAGAAGGCCUUCGGGUUGUAAAGCCCUUUUGUUGGGAAAGAAAAGCAGCAGGUUAAUACCCCGCUGUUCUGACAGUACCCAAAGAAUAAGCACCGGCUAACUUCGUG
rnacentral:rRNA from 1 species